AUAAAAACGAGGAUGAAGACAUAUUUAUUGAAUUAAACUUUUUUAGAGAGCUGGUGGGUGGUGCGAACCAGUAAGUUAUUUAGUAAAUUCCACUUCUGAGUUGUUAAGCUGAACGAUAUUAGUAAGCUUAAUCGUUAAUGGACGUUACCCAGGAAUCCAAUUAAGAAUUGAUUGAAGAUCAAUCAAUAAAAUUAGGGUGGCACCGCGGAAAUAGAAUAACAACUUUUCGCCCCUUAC
rnacentral:ncRNA from 1 species